ACGCCAGACUCCUACGGGAGGCAGCAGUGAGGAAUAUUGGUCAAUGGUCGGGAGACUGAACCAGCCAAGCCGCGUGAGGGAGGAAGGUACAGAGUAUCGUAAACCUCUUUUGUCAGGGAACAAAGGCGGGGACGUGUCCCCGGAUGAGUGUACCUGAAGAAAAAGCAUCGGCUAACUCCGUGCCAGCAGCCGCGGUAAUACGGAGGAUGCGAGCGUUAUCCGGAUUUAUUGGGUUUAAAGGGUGCGUAGGCGGACUGUUAAGUCAGCGGUAAAACCCCGGGGCUCACCCCGGGCGAGCCGUUGAAACUGGCUGUCUUGAGAUGUCGAGAGGUAUGCGGAAUGCGCAGUGUAGCGGUGAAAUGCAUAGAUAUCACGCAGAACUCCGAUUGCGAAGGCAGCAUACCGGCGCCCUACUGACGCUGAGGCACGAAAGCGUGGGUAUCGAACAGGAUUAGAUACCCCCGUA
rnacentral:rRNA from 1 species